rnacentral:rRNA from 1 species
CAGCAGCCACGGUAAUACGAAGGGGGCUAGCGUUGUUCGGAUUUACUGGGCGUAAAGGGCGCGUAGGCGGGCGAAUAAGUCAGGGGUGAGAUCCCGAGGCUCAACCUUGGAACUGCCUUUGAUACUGUUUGUCUUGAGUUCGAGAGAGGUAAGUGGAACUGCGAGUGUAGAGGUGAAAUUCGUAGAUACUCGCAAGAACACCAGUGGCGAAGGCGGCUUACUGGCUCGAAACUGACGCUGAGGCGCGAAAGCGUGGGGAGCAAACAGGAUUAGAGACCCCCGUAGUCCCUGUCUCUUAUAC